rnacentral:rRNA from 1 species
UACGGAGGAUCCAAGCGUUAUCCGGAUUCAUUGGGUUUAAAGGGUGCGUAGGCGGAACGAUAAGUCAGUGGUGAAAGCCUGCAGCUUAACUGCAGAACUGCCAUUGAUACUGUCGAUCUUGAGUACAUUUGAUGAGGGCGGAAUGUGUCAUGUAGCGGUGAAAUGCUUAGAUAUGACACAGAACACCGAUUGCGUAGGCAGCUAACUAGGCUGUAACUGACGCUGAGGCACGAAAGCGUGGGGAGCGAACAGG